AAUUUUGAAAUUUUGCUUUGAAUUUUUUUUAAUUUAUAAAUUAUUAAACAAAUGAUUAAAAAACAGUAUAAGUAGACAAAAUUAUUUAAUAAAUAUCAAUAUUAACAAUAUACUAUAUAUAUGUGUUAAUCUCAUUUAAAUUUAAUUAUAGACCAUAUAAAAUAAAAAAGUGAUUGUUCAGAUUAAUAAAAUUUAUUUAUGUGUUUGCAUCAAUUUAAUAAUAAACACAAUAUGUAUUGAAUUUUUUAAUAUUAUAUAUAUAUAUAAUUUUAUAAUAUGUAAAAAUAUAUAAUACAUAAAAACAAUUUAAAUAAUAUUUAUCUCGCGCAAGGUGUGGAUCUUAACUUAGGUUUAUAAGUAAAGCAGUGUAGAUCAAACAACCUCGUUCUUGAACGAUCCUAGUUAAAUCAACAAUCUUUUAUUUUUUUUUUUAAUUUUUUUUUUCAACUUUUAUGUUAUAUCUGUAAAAUUUAGGAACUUUAAUUUAAAAUCAACGGUCAAAUGAAACUAAUAUAACCAGAGUUUAGUAUAAUCCAUGUUCUAAAAUGCGUUCUCCGCGGCCGCAUACUCGCCGGAAAACCGUGAGUCAGCUGGUCACCACCGCGAUUUGAUACUAUUUGCUCAGUUAAUCACCAAAAUUUAUAAGUUCAUUGCUUUAUAGAUUUUAAACUUGAUAUCACAUUCUAAGUUACGAUUUGUAUUAUUUAAACCAAAACUUACAAAAUUAAUACGAAAAAGACUGAAACUCAAAAAAAAAAAAAAUAGAAAACAGCUACAGGUUUCGCAUGAAGAAGGUGGAAAACGAGGGCAAUUUUGUCAAUUACCAUUUUAUUUAACAUAAUUCUAAAAUAUUGUCCAAAAUGUUCAAUGUGACCGUGUUGGGUAGGCUAAUUAAGCUCAACAAAGGCCACUACACCAUGGAUCCAAGACGUGAUACUUAAUCUUAUUUAAUAUAUAAUCAUAUACUUAUUUAGAAACCCUAAAAUAACUCCAAUUAAUCUCCGUAUAAUCUCUGAUUAAUUGAUUACGCGCUAGGUCCUACCCAGCCGCACACAUAACGCCUGGUGUAGUUUCGAACUGAGAGUAUAAUAUAUGUUAUUGGGUUGUAGAAUAUAAUAUUCUUAAUCGCAAUACUAGGAAUUUCUCUAUAAAAUAUAUUAUAUUUUGAAAAAUCGUUGCUAGUGCCACGUCAAUCAGUAAGGGUAAGUUUUAUUAUUAUGACACCUUAGCUUGGUAAUAUGCUAGUAAGGUUGUGUAAUUAAAUUGAUUCUCACAAAAUAGAUAGAAAGUUUUGAUUCAAAUUCUAACUUGGUUGUUGAAUAAAUUAGUUUUCAAAUUAGAUGCUUUUCAUUUUAAAUGGAGAAUGGCUAAAAUUAUCACAGAAACUGACAUAAAAGUAUGUGUAUAGAAGACAAUCAAAAAUAUAACAAUAAAGAUAUUCUUUUUAGUCAAACGUCUAUUAAUUUAUAUAGUUUAACAAAUUGGUUAUUUCUAUCUAGAGCAUCCUAUUUAAACCAACAAUCGAAUCUUUUAUACUAUUAAACUUGGAAAUUAGAAUUUAAAUUCAACUGAUAAUGAAUACAUAUUGACUUACCUUACUAUAAAAUCUAUCAGUUUUAAUUAAUUUCAAGAUAUUUUUCCUAUUUGUUUUUCAUGAUUUGUUUGUAUGAGUCAUCUUCUUUAUUAUAAGUUUACUCUUGAUUUCUUUCUAUGUUUUUCAAUUUGUGGUACUUUUGAAAAAUAUCUACAAAUCUAAUUUGUUAUAUAUAAGAUAUUCAUGGAUGCAAUACAACCUCAUCACUGUUCUUUAUUUUAAAUUUUUCGCUUUUUGUUGCAUCAUCAAAAAUGGCUAAAACCACAAUUCUUGCUAUUUUCAUGGUUGUUCUUGUUUUAGGGACGGUGAUGGAGUCACAAGGACAAGAAAUGUGUACUGAUUAUUCUAAAGGAUCAGCACUUUGCGAAGCUAAACCAUGUAAUGAUCAGUGUGUACGCAAGUAUAAUGGACAUGGCAGGUGCUUAGACACAAUGUGCGUCUGCACUUAUAUUUGUAAAACUUAAUUUUUAUUUGUUACUAAUAAACUAUCAUCAAAUAUUUUUAAAUAAAAAUGUGUGAAAAAGAAUAUCGCAAUUUUCUUAGAACGUGAAUUCUGAUUUCAGCUAUUGGACAUCAUAACAAAACAUGAAUCAUACACAACUAGUAACUAAUGGUAUGUUAGUGGCAAUGUCAUAUUUGAAGCACAACAUGACGUAAAUUAGUUUUUCAGACUCUUUAAAUUAUUUUUUUUGCUGUUUAACCAGUUUGGAUCUAAGUCCCGACAGUUAGCACGUUAGUCCGGUAACCGACGUCUAGCUACCCUAAAUAUUAGUCAAAAAGUAUUUCAAACCCGAAUCUAUUAAUAUGAUAAUCUAAUAUAGCUUUAAAUGCAUUCUUUUUAGGAUCGUCAGAAUCAACCGCUAGAUGCAUCAAAAAAGACGGGAAUUAUAAACCGCAAAUUUCAGCAUAUAUGCCAUAUAUAUAAGUCAGAUAUGUCGAUCAUAAUAAAAAAAAUAACUUUUUCAAUAUUAUAGAUGAUGAAAAUGUAAAAGUGUAGUACAAAAUUCAUAAAAAUAUCUAAUACCAAUUAAUUUGUAUAAUUAAAAUUAUCUUAUGCGUUAUUAAGUUAUUGGCUCAAUAGAGAGUGAUGCACAUGUUGAAUUCCAGAAACUUACGUAUGGCUUCAUAAUUAAGAGUGGUUUAUAAGGCCAAUAUAUUUGUUCAAACUGCAGUGAUUGCUAUGUAUGCUAAAUGCAUAUACUUUAAAACUGCAAGUACUAUGUUACAAGAUAUGGAAGUUGGUGAUGUGGUUUCUUGGAAUUCGAUGGUUGUUAAGUGUGCUAGAGAAGUAAAGCAGUGUAGAUCAAACAACCUCGUUCUUGAACCAUCCUAGUUAAAUCAACAAUCUUUUCU